rnacentral:lncRNA from 1 species
GUCUGACUACCUGGCCAUCCCAUCAGAGAACAAAGAGAACUCUGCGGUGCCAGUGGAGGAAUAGAAGGGGUGACUUGAGGUGGCCUGAACACUGAAGGACUGGCUAUCCUAGGUUCAGUGAUGUCAGCAGCGUCAGGAGGCUGCCCCAGGGGCCACAUCACUUCCCUUCAUGCCUCCAUCCUUCAGCUCACUCAUCAUCCAUCCACUCACCUCCGACUUGCUAACCCCAUCAGACCUAUACACCAGAAGACCUUGCCAGAACUGAGGAGCCAAUAUGUCUACACAGACUCAACCUCACCCUGUCCUAGCUAUCAGGCAAGCGGCUCCCAUGCCAACUGACUCCUCCCCUGAGCUCCACCCGACUUUGAACACAUGCCGUGGGCAGUACAUCCACCUGCCCCUUACUGGCUGGAGCUGGCUCGUUCUCCAUUGCUGCAAGUGAAUGCAUGUCUUAGUGGAAGGAAGCAGGAAUGGUCAGUUGGGGUUAAAGCAAAAGAGUGUCAUGAAACGGGAUUUACGGAUGUCAGUUUUUCUAAGUUCCUGGCCCACGGGGCUGGAGCAUCAGAGCAAAGCAUGCCUUUUUAGGCCUUCCAGUGAUAGAAAGUUCGUUAAGCAUGGACUAAACUAUUCUCUGGAGCUUGGCUCCAGGGCUAGAUACCGAUAGGUCUCAAAGGCCUGGGUUAAUCUCAGUCCUUGAAGAAGCCAAGCGUAGGCAACCAGUUUAGUCACACAUGUUUGUAAUCCUCACACGGUAACAUGUGUGUGCCUUCCCAGGCGAGCACACUUCCUGAGAUGGCCAGGUGGCAAUACUUCCCUGUGGGCACUGGAACUGAAAUCGCAAAGUUCUUCCUCUCAGAAUUUCUGUGGAUCAGUAUUAUUACUCAUUUUACAGGAGGCAACUGAGACUCAGACAGAGCUUAACAGAAUAAGAGAAUUCAAAGGAUAACCUGGAGCAGAUAAGGCCUUAGGUGCCGCCCGGUGUACACUUCCCGAGAUGGGAUAAUUGUGUUUCUGCAAAUUGAGUUUGGCUAUGGCUCUUUCCCAAGCCCAGAAUUAGGUGGGUUGCCUGGCUAAGGUUAACUCAUAUUGAUUCAGGUAACUAGCCCUUGGCCAGAAAGGCAGAGAGAAGGAUAUGAGGUAGAUGUGAAGAAUUUCUCUACUGAAAAGAUUUGUGACUCUGAAACCUCCCCCGGAACGGGAAUGCACCUGGGAAUGGUGCUUAACCAAGACACGUGUUUUUAGUGAGACGGAUGAUGAGCAAAUGGGUGCAGUGAUGGGGGAGGGGUAAGCUUGGUGACUUCCAAAAAUUUCACCUGGGAAUUCACAGUGUCCAGGAAUCUUUUCCAGAUGUUAGGAGAGCAGAUAAACACUGGACAAAUGUUAGCCACUGUCUUAUGAUUCACUUUGAGUAACUGGUGUUAAAUGUGGUGUCCUCAGGCACUCUGUGAUAAGGGAGGGAAGGAUGCUACAUGGGAUAUAAGAAGAUGAAGGUGAUGGGAUUCUGUGGCCAAGAUGUCCCUCAGAUCCAGGCAGAUUUCUGGGGAAAGAUCCUAUCCCUUGGCUUUGGGCCUGAUCUUGACAGAGUCAGUUUUUCUUCUCUCUGCCAUUCCUGGGGAAGUAUUUGAAACAAGUCCUUGUUGACAUAUUCAUGAGUCUGAAUUUAUUGAAGAAAACACUUGCUUUCAAUAAAUUCAAGGCCCUUCUCAUUGGUAAUUUCCCACAUAAUUCCUCUGAAAUAGGGGACAGAAUGUCGAUUUCUUUUACUUUAGAGUGAGGGAAACUGGCCUGGAUUACUGUGUGGUUUCCCCAGCCACAUGGCUGGUGGGUGACAGCUUGCUGUAGAAGCAAGCUACCUUCUAGCACUCCACUCCACUGCUGCUUCAGUAGGCUGUGCGUCUCACUUGUGACCGAAUAUGCAUGUUUGUCUUGUUUCCUUUUGAAAAGCCAAUUGCCUAAGUGAUUUUUAAUGCAGCUGAAUGGUACCUCUUUUUUUCUUCUUUGUCUUUUGCAAGUAAUCUUCCCUAGUCUUUUCCUUCUCCUAAUGCCUCAACUUGUCAUUCUUAAUACUUUAUUAAGCUCUGUGCUUUCCCAAGCCUUUUUAUUUCAGUUAUCUUAUUUCUUCCCCACAACUAGCGCUGCGAGGUGGAUAUUGCUAAUAUGGGAACAGAUGAAGAAACAGGCUGUCUGAGGCUAAGAUGCUUUACCAAAUCAUAAGUUCAUGUAGCUGGUAAGCAGAGAGCUAGAAUCCGGGUCUUCUGACCCCCAGCCCAGGUCUCUCCGUGGAGACCAUGGCUGCUUCCUUUCCUCUCAUUAUUUUUACCUUUAUCAAAACCUUGCCUCUCUUGCUUGUCCCGAGAUGUUCAACAUGUUCUCCCGCCCCAAGCCCACCACCACUUUGCUUCUUGGCCCUUGCUCUGUAUGUGCUUUGACAGUCUAUCUCAUGUUGCUUUUCCCUUUCUCCUUGGCUUGUGCCGCGUUCUUUCUCCUGAACUGCAGUUGAACUCCUUCCUGGAGACCUGAUCAUGACUAUAAAUCCACAAGGUACUGUGAUCACCAGCCUACUUCAAGUCCUCACUCUCUCCCCAUCGCGCCCCAUCUCCCUACAGAGGGCCCUGACGCAUGUGCACUGCUCUGGAAGCUUUGUCUGGCAUGCUGUUCUUAUUCAAGGGCUUAGAAAUGUUCUCAAGGGCUAUUAUCACUUUAGGAACCCUAUCUGUUGUCUUGGUGCUGGGUAUUCCCCAUGACUGAUCCUUAACCGCACAUUUUUUUACUAAAGGCUCAGCCAGGCUGGGUCUGGUUUUCCCUUUCCUUCGGAUGUUGAUGGCCAUGAACUUCAUUACUCAACUCAGUUGACCCCCGUGAGCACCCUCCCUGCUGAGCUUUACCAUCGGCUCAGCCUUGCGUCAUAGCUCCAACUUCUGUGUGGAAAGACCUCGACAGUCAACACCUGUUCCUACGCCAGCCUCUUUUCAGACCGUCUAAAAGCACUAUCCUUUAGAGUCACCACCCCCAAACAUCCGCACACCCAGACUUCUGAUUCUGAGUUUCUCGUUUCUCCUUUGAUGCCAAACGAGACACGUUAGUAGAAAAGGAAUUUUUCAAAGCAGGGAUAUGCUGGAAAUAUGUGUAGAGCUAUGAAUGGUGAAGAGAAGCGAUAGUAGCUCCCUCCCUUCUCCCCAAAUUAGAUCAAAAAGAAAAAUAUACCCAUCUCAGAAUCUGUCAUAAAUCAGAGGGAAGAGGGCCAUGAGACUACAUUGUGGCAGGAAGAAGCAGGGAGCUAGACACAUUUCACAACAGGUCAUGGUUCCCCUUUCCCAAGUUAAGUGGAAAUGGAAUUAAAAAUAAAAAGCACCUUCCUCUCCUCUCCUUUUGUAAAUGAAAACUCUCUAACCGGGUGAAUUCUCUUAGGCACUGGCUAUGUAUCUGAAUACCACUUGGCAUGUCAUGACUCUGAUCAUGCAUUCAUUCUGCAUUUUAGCACCCACUCUGUGUUAAGCACCAGUCUCCACCCUGAGUGUGCCUCGUGGCCUUAGGUUUUAAAAAUAGCAUCACCCAAGGCCGUUCCUAAUCUCUUCUGUGGUAGAUGACUUAUGUUUAGCCCCUCUACCCGUCCUUGAGUCUAUCGGAGGACCCAGGAGAUAAGCGCUUUAAGCAGGCCUAAAUUGUAGAUUAGCCUCAACCUCUAUCUUAGGCCAGCUAAGCUCAAAGCCUGUAUUACUUUAUCUUUCUUUUCCCCAAGUUACCAUUUGGCAAGAGAUGUCUCUGAUGGGCAGUGUUUGUGCCGGGGCGGGAGGCUGCUGAAGGUCGAGUGCUUGUAGGUUUGUGAUGCGCCAUCAAACACGACCAGCAAACUCAUGCAGUCCUGGAACUGAUGGGGCUCAUUGCUAUGUUGUCACCUUCUUGCUGCUUUCUCUUGAUUUUCCACAGCCAAUCUUUCUCUGAACACUAGAAAUGUCGUUCCCGACCACCCAAUGCCUGUAACGUGGUGUUUUUCAGUAAACUCCCUGUUCACAUUAAUAAAGUGUCUCU